AGAACUAGUUGAGACAGCGAAAGUUUUGUCAGCGGGAAAGUUAAGGAUUUUUUUUUAGUAGUUUGUAAUAAAUGGUUGUAAACGUCUGAGAGGUGUAGAUAGUUUUAAGACAAUUUGGAUUAAAGUUUUAGAUGGUGAGGAGUGACUGACUGACUGACUGGAGAGUGACUGACUGGAGAGUGACUGACUGGCUGGCCUCAACCGUCUUAUAAGGGAGGGAAGUGACUAACUGGCCGAAUUUCACCAGUUUAAGAGGAUUAACGAUUUCAUUCACCAGUUUAACGUAAAUAAUAUCAAUUACUUCUACAUCACAUUAACAGGAUUAUAUUUUAACUGACGGUCUUAACUUAAUAUUAACAAAAUAGUUGAAUUAAUGUUAACGUUAAAUAUCAACGGAAUUAGUUAAAUGUCUUCUCGUUUAACGUUAACAAAAACAACGAUAAGGUUUAACGUAACGAGAGUAAUUUAACAAAGAAAAUUUAACGAGUAUUCUAAUUUAACCAUAACCAGAUUACUGAAUUCAUUUUCCGAUUUUAACACGACAAAAAUUAACGAGUUUGCCAGAAGGUUAACGAAUUCAUCCAACGGCACGAUUAACUAGCAACAAAGUUCACUGUUAACAAUAUUACUAAAAGAACGCAAAACAAAUUCCUUUAGUUAAAACAGAAACAAAAUCAAGGUAAAAAGAAACACGUCAAUACAGCAUUAAGAAAGAAUUAAAUGCUGAGGAUGAAUAUAAGUCGUAGAACUGGUCAAGAAUUAGUUAACUCUUUCAAGAAUUAAACCCGACUUGGCUAGUAAUUGAAUCAACAAACACCGGAGUUGAGAAGAAUUUGACAUGAUAGAAUUAACAGCGAAAGGUAAUUAAUAAAAAGUAAAUAAUAAAUAAUAAUAAUAAAACAGAUAUAACGGUAAUAAUAACAGAAACGGAAUAAGCGUUUAACAUUACUAACAAACAGAAACUAACGGCAGGACCAUUUAAGCCCUCUGCCAGUAAGGGCAUUCAAACCUCGCCAGGCGCUCCGUGUUACUCAGCCACAACGAUCAACCAUUAACAAAACAACGACAGACGUUUCUUCGCCAGGCCUUCCCUCCGCCAGCGAUACUGUUUAAGCUGAGAAGGUCAGGUCGACUACCACAGCUGCCAAACACAACACACCAGUCGUCUCCAGCAACAUGUCGGGCAAGACGGUGGACUGGAGCCGCUUCGGGUUGGCGUCUGAUGCCGACCAACACGCCUCAGAGACCACACGCCUCAAAGAUCCCGCCCUAGAGGAAGGUUACUACGGCGGCCAAGACGCUGAACUCUUCGCCGAGGAGAAGGGGGACGUGCCGUGGUGGAAGAGCACAUUCUUCGUCAGCGAGCGAGUGCUGUUUGGGACGUGGGACGGCGUCUUCACCUCCUGCCUCGUCAACCUGCUGGGGGUCAUCGUCUUCCUCAGGGCGGGUUGGGUCGUAGGGGAGGCUGGUGUACCCCUGGCGGCUCUGGUGGUCAUCGUCUCCGUGGUGGUGGUGCUGACGUCCGUGGUAUCAGCAGUAGGGAUCUGUGAGCGCACGAGGAUGGAGAGUGGCGGCAUAUAUUUCCUCAUCUCUCACGUCUUGGGCUCUCAGGUGGGCGGAUCCGUCGGCCUCGUCUAUUGCUUCGGGCAGACGGUCGGCAUCUCCCUCUGCGUCACGGGCUUUGGAGAGUCGAUGGCUGAGCUGCUUGACCUGCCGUGGGUGUGGGCGGAGAAAGCCAUUGGAUCUGGGGCGCUGCUGCUGCUGGCACUUAUCAACAUUGCUGGGGUCAAGUGGGUCAUCAAAGUACAGUUCUUGUUGCUGCUGCUGGUCGUUCUCGCUGCCCUUGAUUUCGUGUUUGGAAGCUUCCUGGACCACUCUGAUAAGGAGGGCGUGACGGGCUGGUCUGGUGUGACGUGGGCUAAUAACACGUCACCGGGGUACACGUCGGGCACGUCGUGGUUCACCGUGUUGGGCGUGUUCUUCCCUACAGUGACGGGUAUCAUGGCGGGCAUCAAUAUGAGCGGUGACCUGAGGAACCCGGCCAGGGACAUCCCCGUCGGUACCCUGUCUGCUCUUGGCCUCAGCACGGUCCUCUACCUCGGGUUCGUGGUGGUGCUGGGCGCUACUGUAGAGCGUCACGUCCUGCUCACUGACUACAUGAUUACGGAGAAAGUGUCAGCUCUAGGUGUAUUGCUGCUGGCUGGGCUCUACACCACCACCUUGUCCUCCACUCUGGCCUCCCUGUAUGGCUCCCCACGGGUCCUCCAGUCCAUCGCUGCAGAGAACGUUGUCCCCAUCCUGGCCUCACUGGCUAAAGGGAAAGGGCCCAACAAAGUGCCGGUGUUGUCGCUGGUGGUGACGGUGAUUAUCACACUCAUCUUCCUGUUUGUGGGCAGGAUCAACACUCUGGCACCCAUUGUCACCAUGCCCUUCCUGGCCACAUAUGCAACAAUUGACUAUGCUUACUUUGCUCUUGCUAUGACAGCUGACAUACAAAGAGCACGAGAAGCAAGGUUCAGGUGUGAUCCCAGUGCUGACGUACCCGAACGGAGAAGUGAUAUAAUUCUUAUCUCAGCCAAACUAAAGAAGAUCAAGGAAGCAGUUGAUAUUGAAGAGGUAAAAGUUACUUUUGAUGUUACAGAGGUCAAACCUUUGGAACCCCGACCUUUGACUCGAGGGGUGCAGGAGGCACUAAUGAUUUGGACCACCUGUUUCCAGAGAGAAUCACCCAUAAGAAAGUCAUUACGACAGCAGCCAGCUCAGGGACAUCUAGCCUUGUGUCUUCUCCUGAUGACCACUCAAGCAUUAAGUCAGACACUGAUCAUUCGACAAAAGCAGAAGAAGAGAGUGUUGGUAGUGGUGUUACGACAGGUGAAGGGGUGACGCCUCACACAGGGGGUCCUGCAGGAAUGAUGGGUAUCUCGAGCAAACCAGCCCAUUGGUAUUCUUAUCUCUGUAACCGCUGGCUUUCCCUCCUUGGGGUUGGUGUGAAGUUGGCGAUGAUGCUGUGUGUCCACUGGGCGUAUGGUCUCAUCACACUGUUGACAACACUGCUAAUAUACAUAUAUAUUGGUCAGGCAGCACCCGGCGGUCCUCCU
rnacentral:misc_RNA from 1 species